CCCUUAGAUGUUCUGGGCCGCACGCGUGCUACAAUGAUGCAUUCAACGAGUCUAAAACCUGGUCUGAUAGGGCUGGGUAAUCUUUUGAAAGUGCAUCGUGAUUGGGAUAGAUGAUUGCAAUUCUUCAUCUUCAACGAGGAAUGCCUAGUAAACGCAAGUCAUCAGCUUGCAUUGAUUACGUCCCUGCCCUUUGUACACACCGCCCGUCGCUCCUACCGAUUGAAUGAUCCGAUGAAUACCAUGGAUUGAGAGUACGAAUAGGUUCGCUUAUUUCUGCUGCUCGAGAAGUGGAGUAAAUCUUAUCAUUUAGAGGAAGGAGAAGUCGUAACA
rnacentral:rRNA from 1 species